GCUUGAACGAGGCUGAUGAUGGGAGAGCUCACAGCCAGGAGGCUAGCUAGCCAUUGAGGAGCCCGCUGCCAGCAAACAAUGACAGCGAGCUUCAGGCAGGACCAGCCCUGGGAGGGCAACUCACCUAAGGAGCAGGAGCAGAGCAGCAAACUGCAACAGGCCAGACAGGAAGGCAGCCUAAAAGCAAAGGGCUGAAGACUGUUGAGCUAAGCCCUAGCUGGGAAAGCAGGCGGGUCAGCAGGCGCAGGAAGGGCACACCUGUGGCCUGGUGGCUUUGAGGACAAAUGCCACACUGGAAGGAUGAUGCAUAACACCGGUCCUGAGAGUCCAACUCCACCAGUGCUCCAAGGAAUACCAGCAAAACUAUCGUCAUCCGGCAUUGCCUUCUGAGUCUACUGCUCCAGAGUUUGCUCACCAGCACCUCCGCACUGGCCCAGAUGGGGAAGCUGAGUCACAGAGUAAUCGACAGCAAAAGGACAGUGACAAAGCUGGAAAGGGAGCCCAGCAAUCAUGAUGGAAAGUCCCCUGCUAGAACCACCGAGUAUCGGUAUCUAAGAACUCGCAUAGCUUUACUGGGAUGGAUUCUGUGUGCAGCGGUCUGCUUCACCUCUUACAAAUGGACCACAAGAUUAUUUCAGGCUCAGACCCUGUGGGGAGUUGCAAGCCAUCUGCAAAGCCCCAAGUCCUCAACUGGGAGUUGGCAGGCAGCAUCCUGCAGGUGACACAGCAUCUUGCAGAAUCUGGCCCCUUCUAACCUACUUACACGAGAUUAUUAAGGAACACUACUACCUCUGGGAACCUUUUAACACAUAUUAAAGGGCUUCAAAAUUAAAUUGUAAUUGAAUAUAGAGUAAGCAGGAUAACGGCUUCACUGCAAGAAUCGGGAUGCAGAGUUAACUCAGAGCAUUUUUCAUUUCAUGAA